rnacentral:rRNA from 1 species
AACGAACGCUGGCGGCAUGCCUAACACAUGCAAGUCGAACGAGACCUUCGGGUCUAGUGGCGCACGGGUGCGUAACGCGUGGGAACCUGCCCUUAGGUUCGGAAUAACUCCCCGAAAGGGGUGCUAAUACCGGAUAAUGUCUUCGGACCAAAGAUUUAUCGCCUUUGGAUGGGCCCGCGUUGGAUUAGCUAGUUGGUAGGGUAAAAGCCUACCAAGGCGACGAUCCAUAGCUGGUCUGAGAGGAUGAUCAGCCACACUGGGACUGAGAUACGGCCCAGACUCCUACGGGAGGCAGCAGUGGGGAAUAUUGGACAAUGGGCGAAAGCCUGAUCCAGCAAUGCCGCGUGAGUGAUGAAGGCCUUAGGGUUGUAAAGCUCUUUUACCCGGGAUGAUAAUGACAGUACCGGGAGAAUAAGCUCCGGCUAACUCCGU